AACGAACGCUGGCGGCAUGCCUAACACAUGCAAGUCGAACGAGACCUUCGGGUCUAGUGGCGCACGGGUGCGUAACGCGUGGGAACCUGCCCUUAGGUUCGGAAUAACUCCCCGAAAGGGGUGCUAAUACCGGAUAAUGUCUUCGGACCAAAGAUUUAUCGCCUUUGGAUGGGCCCGCGUUGGAUUAGCUAGUUGGUAGGGUAAAAGCCUACCAAGGCGACGAUCCAUAGCUGGUCUGAGAGGAUGAUCAGCCACACUGGGACUGAGACACGGCCCAGACUCCUACGGGAGGCAGCAGUAGGGAAUAUUGGACAAUGGGCGCAAGCCUGAUCCAGCCAUGCCGCGUGAGUGAUGCAGGCCUUAGGGUUGUAAAGCUCUUUUACCCGGGAUGAUAAUGACAGUACCGGGAGAAUAAGCUCCGGCUAACUCCGUG
rnacentral:rRNA from 1 species